rnacentral:rRNA from 1 species
AUUGAACGCUGGCGGCAUGCUUUACACAUGCAAGUCGAGCGGCAGCGCGGGGGCAACCCUGGCGGCGAGCGGCGAACGGGUGAGUAAUGCAUCGGAACGUAUCCUCGAGUGGGGGAUAACCCAGCGAAAGUUGGGCUAAUACCGCAUGAGCUCUGAGGAGGAAAGCGGGGGACCUGCGAGGGCCUCGCGCUGGAGGAGCGGCCGAUGUCCGAUUAGCUAGUUGGUGGGGUAAAGGCUUACCAAGGCGACGAUCGGUAGCUGGUCUGAGAGGAUGAUCAGCCCCACUGGGACUGAGACACGGCCCAGCCUCCUACGGGAGGCAGCAGUGGGGAAUUUUGGACAAUGGGGGCAACCCUGAUCCAGCCAUGCCGCGUGAGUGAAGAAGGCCUUCGGGUUGUAAAGCUCUUUCGGACGGAACGAAAUGGGCGGGACUAAUACUCCUGUCUGAUGACGGUACCGUAAGAAGAAGCACCGGCUAACUACGUG